rnacentral:tRNA from 1 species
CGGACUAGAAAAUCCGUUGGCUUAAGUGACCGUGAGGGUUCAAGUCCCUCUUCCCC